CACAGUCUCACUGUGUAGCUUAGCCUCCCGAGUGCUUGGAUUAAAGGUGUAGACCGCUGAGCCUGGCCCCAGUGCCCUGAUCAUGGUGCAAGGGAUUGAACCCAUAGCUUUGUGUAAGGAUUCUACCAACCGAACUACAUCCCCAGCAGGUUCCAUUUUAAAGAAAGCAUUGCAGGGUACAGAAAAUAAAUCAGUCUAGUCAUAGGAACUGAGGUGUAGUAAUACCAUAAAAGCAAGAGACUUUGCUGGCUACACAUACACAGACACAUGCACAGUCACACGAACAGGCGCACGAGGAACUGUUCCCAGAACACACGAGCAUCCCUCCUGACUCUGAACACCUGUUUGCUUGGAGUACCUGUCUCGCCUGCCCACACACUUCGUCAGAUCUUAUACCAAGUGUCACCCUUGUGAUGGGCUGGCUUUAAUACGUGUAAGGCAGUGAAGAUCUACAUAGUCACAGGAAUUUUGACUCGGAAUUACUGCCUUCUCUCCAUUUAGUUUCAGGGACUGGAAACAAAGAAAUUAACUGACAGCUUAAGAGCAAGAGGUCCAGAGGUCCAGAGCGGCUGAGAGAACUGUGUGGAAGAGGAGACACAAAGCAACAUGUUCUGGACGACUGAGGCAGCUCCUAAGGUCCCAGGCUUUGCAGCACCACAUCCUCUGCCUGAAGACUGUUUUCUCAGGCCUGAGCUGAGUUCUGAAUGCUGAAACCUCAUUGAGGAGACUAGCUAUGGAAAAAUGUAUACCAACUUCCAGACUUUUGGCUGAGACUUUUUUCUUUUAAGAAGCAGAAAAAGGCAGAUACGUAUUACUCUGAUCUACCUAUAGAUGUCACUGUUCAUUUAUGACAAAUCAUCCCCGGAGCUCAGGCAAUUACCUCGGCUAAAAUAACAAGCGUGUUUUCUGGAAAUAAAAUAACCAGCAAGUACCGAGAGAGAGGCAUUUUCUCUCGCAGGUGUCUCCAAAUCAAAGCUGAGGUGCGAACAACAAUUCACUCUUUCUCCAGGCCUCCCACACAGUGUUUGCUUCCAGAACUUCAGCACCGCAGUGAGAGCUAGCUCUUCCUGGCCUGGCAGUCCCUCAGCCCUAACUGCCUGACCCCAUAAGCAUUUCCUACUUGUUUUAGCUUGUGAAGGACGCUGGCGUUCUGAGAGACAGGAAGUAGAGUUAUACUGUAUUUCAAUAUAAACAAAAAAUUCUGCUACCCAUUGCUGCCUACCGAGAACACAUAUACCAUGGAUGUUGAAAUGGAUGGAAUGUUUCAGUAAGUCUCUAAUAAUAAGGGAAUGUAAGCACAGCAUUUAUACAACAGACAGAGACUUGUAUAUUCACCCAGUGACUCAUGCAUGAUAAUGGUUGUUAGUGCUGUUAUUUAGAUAACCAAAUAAUUGGGCUCCUUUAUGGAGGAUGAUAUGUUAGACAUAGUCUAUCCUUAUCCAUACAUUAUCUUACUUGGGUAAAUGGUUUAAAUGGAAUUAUACCAUAUGGAGUGAUAACCCCUCUCCCCCAUCCCCAUUCCAUAAACUAUCUGAUGGAAAUGAGAAUGAGAGACGAUGAAAACCUCCCUUUCAGUAGCUGCUGAGGGCGACCCAAGAGGCCUCCCAAAUGGUACAGGUUAUUGCUGUCACCCAUGGUUGCCUCCUGGAACUUGAAGGUAAGAGCCUGGUGGUGAAGACACUACACACUUUGGAUACGGAACUCAGAGGGGCUGAGCUGGUUCUGACCUGGUAGAAUACCCCAUCCCUGAAGGCUGCCUUUUAUAGUAUUGCACGGUGCAAGUUGCCAAGGAGGAGGAACAGCCAGUAGUCCUACCCAGACGUGAAGUCUAAGAAGCAUGUCGAUGACUAGUGGGGCACUUGAUAUGUUAUGGUGUAAUCAUGGCACGUACACCACAGGGUUAACCAAUGGCUAUCUCCGUGGAUUUAAGGCCUGCACAAUAGGCUCACUAAGACCUGUUCAUGCCUGUAAAAUCUAGCCAACUACCCACAGCCAGAGAGGUUGUAUAUUUGAGAAGAGAACCCAUGCUGGCAUUUUCCUAAAUCAAUAUAUCUUCUUACGGUGUCCUAAAUUCUUACCAUUGUACCCUUCAUUGAACAAGCUUCUUUUGCAGAGCGUGGAAAUGACUACAGAGAUUCACUACUGCUCAAGAUGCAGAGAACGGGUAACUGUGGUGUGCCCAGUGCCCACUGGUGUAUCUCCAACCAACCCCUACACCCAAGGCUCAGGGAAGAUCUAUAUAGAGGAGGGAGAAGGAAGGAAAAAAUAAGCUGGUAUGUAUUCCGGUGAAUGCAGGAAAUUAUCACUAGAAAGUAGCUUUAACAGAAUGGAUUAGGAAAGUGAUGACCUUUUGGCAAGGACCUGUAAAUGUGGUCAAGAAAUGGGCGCACCCUGCUAGAAGAAAGCAUCCUCCUACAUUGCCUUCAAGAGCAGUUCCUCAGAAUCAACACUAGUAAAAUUCACAACCAGAGAAGGACUCAACAUUGCUGUCCACCAGUCUCUUCCAGAUAAAGGUCUCACUGUGUGCUCCACUGCUCUCCAAUUCUGCUUCAGCCCCCCAGGGCUGGGAUCGCAGUUACAAAUCCACAUAAAGGGAACGAGGCGGUACACAGCUUUCAUAAUUGCGUGCGGAGGCGUGUAAGGAGCUGUGGAAGGCGGCUGCGCACCAUUCCUGCGGGAAGCACUCUGUGUCUUCUACCUGAAGUCAACUUGGACACGCCUGUCAACCUCAAGAGCCUGGCCUUAUCAUACUUGGGCACAGUGACAGUGAUAGUUUGGUGUCAGGGCUUGUCAGAAUAACAAUUACCAACUCCAUGUUCCUGCUGCUAACGUUCACCCACACAGCACUGAGACAGAGUCUACGCUUAAGAAGUGGGGUCUGGACUGAACUCACUUGGUAACCAGGAAGGAUGCCCUUGACCUUUACGUGGAUGAGGCUCUAUGUGACUUCACAGAAAUUGGUUCUACGUAAAAACUAACUAAGCAUUAUAUAAUUCUGAUAUUGUAUAUUACAGUGUCCCUGAAAUGAUCAGUAAAGUAAACUGAUACCUUGGCCAAACUGUUAACUUAGCGUCUAUUAACUUCAGUGAGGUUAGGUUAGUAUAUCUGUAGAAAUAAACUU